rnacentral:rRNA from 1 species
UACAGACUCCUACGGGAGGCAGCAGUGGGGGAUAUUGCACAAUGGGGGAAACCCUGAUGCAGCGACGCCGCGUGGGUGAAGAAGCGCCUCGGCGCGUAAAGCCCUGUCAGCAGGGAAGAAAAUGACGGUACCUGAAGAAGAAGCCCCGGCUAACUACGUGCCAGCAGCCGCGGUAAUACGUAGGGGGCAAGCGUUAUCCGGAUUUACUGGGUGUAAAGGGGGCGCAGACGGCGAUGCAAGCCAGGAGUGAAAGCCCGGGGCCCAACCCCGGGACUGCUCUUGGAACUGCGUGGCUGGAGUGUGUGAGAGGAUAGUGGAAUUCCAGGUGUAGGAGUGAAAUCCGUAGAUAUCUGGCGGAACAUCAGUGGCGAAGGCGACUAUCUGGCACAUAACUGACGCUGAGGAGCGAAAGCGUGGGUAGCAAACAGGAUUAGAUACCCCAGUAU